rnacentral:lncRNA from 10 species
UGGGCGACAGAGUGAGACUCCGUCUCAAAAAACAACAACAACAACAAAAAACCAUGGGCUUUUGGGCUAGAGAGGCCUGGGCUGCACAGCUAAUCUUGCUACCAGCUAACUUGAAACCUCAGAAAAAAACUGUUUCUCAGUUUCUUCAUCUGAAAAAUUGGAUUAGUAAUAGUUCCUAUUUCAUAGGGCUGUUGUGAACAUUGAGAUCAUCCAAUAAAAUUAUUUAGCACAGUGCCUGGGACACAGUCAACCAUCAAUAAAAGUGGCAGCAGCAGCAGUAAUAGUUGUUGGAUGGUGUUACUCCAGCUUGAACAUUCCAGAUACAUCCGUCUUACAUUCUGUUUCUGACAUUGGACAAAUAGUGUAAUGUUGGGGCUGUCCAGCAGGAGGCACUGCUGACAUGUACUUCUCUAUUGCCCACAGAGGUCCAGGAAGUGGGAGGCAGUUUUCCCUGGAGCAGUGUUCUCUGAUGAUUGCCCUGGCAGAGGCCUAGACUUUUCUUCCUGGUACAAUAAACCAAGCUCUUGGCUCCUCCCAGACAGCAGUGUCUCAGCUUUCUUCCUGGGACUGGUCCUCUCUUCUCAGAUCCAGUUCCUGGCCUCCUCCUGCUUAUAGCCUCCAGCCAAGCUGCUGAAUCUGGCAACCCAGGCCCUGGCCAACCUUUCCUUCUUGUCCAGGCCCCUAGCGGCCGCCAACUUCCCCAAAGCCAGCAGGCACGUGCAGGACAUGCCAGCUUGGAAUAGGUUUCCUGCGCCCUCUCUCUUCCCCCUCAACUCUGUAAAAUCCCUUUUUUUGAUUCCUCCUCUUCAGAGAUGGAGCCGGGCAGGACUAACCCUGCUGUGCAGAUGGAAUAAAAGGCAGGGACCUGUUCCACGAUGCUCCCAAGCUCAGAUCACAGCGAGCUAAAGGGAACCUGGGAGGUGGGUCUCCUAAGCCUCAGGCACAGGGAUUAAAGAUGGCUGCAAAUUCUCCGACACGCCUCCCAUGGACCUAAGGGGCCUGUAACUGCUUUGACCAACAGAAAACAGCAGAAGUGAUGCUGGGCCAGGUCCUGGCUCAGACCCUGAGAGACUGCAGCUUCACUUCCUGUCAUUUGGAGCCUUGAGCGGCCAGGUGAGAAGGCUGACCACCUUGCUGCUAGUGAAGAGGGGCCCCGGUGAGCCCAGCCUCACAACAGCCCCCACCGAGCUGUCAGGGGUGUGAGAAAAGCUGGUGGACCCUUCAGAUGAGCUCAGUUGAGUAUUUCCAAGUAACCUCAGUCAAUGCUACAUGAAGCCAAAGAAUUGCUUGAAUUCCUAACCCACAAAAUAACAAGAUAUAAUAAAAUGCUGUCUUAAACCAACAA